CACAGAGCCACGACCACUCACACAACCUCUCCCCUAGGUCUGCAGACUGAGUCCAGAGGUCAACGAGCAGCAAGAGCUAAGUCAGGAUGUCAUCAUUCACCUGGAUGGAAAGUGUGUGUGGUCCUCUUACAGAUCUACUAUGCUGAUGCCCAGACCCCUCACACCACCUAUCCUGACAGCAUCGAGGUUCUGCAGUUCCCCAACAACCAGACUGAGAAGCAUUUCCCUGAUGGUCGUAAGGAGAUCACGUACCCUGACCAGACAGUUAAGAACCUGUAUCCAGAUGGGACGGAGGAGUGUACUCACUGAUGGGACCAUCAUUCAAGUUAACCUGGAAGUCCACACCUAUCUAUCCACGUUCUCUACACUGACAUGCAUCUGGACAGGGAUGGCAGUAAGGAGAUCCGGUUCAACACAGGCCAGAAAGAUGUCCACACAGCAGACUACAAAAGGAGGGAGUACCCAGAUGGCAGACAGGAGACCUGCUACACCACCGGGCCAACAGGCCAUAGGACUGAAUCAUGUGUUUCGAGGGUUUUUUAGUUUAAUGUGGUGCGAGUGUCUGUUUUGUCUUUUUUUAGCUGAUUGUAAUUUCUUUUGUAAAAUAAAUGUUUAUCAAAUCCCUGUG